CUGUUAAAAUACAAAGUCCCAGCACUGACAAAAACAGAGAACGUCCCCCUUGUGAUGAGCUCAGUGCCCUUCCUCUCAGGAGCUGCGCUGUGGAGAGGCAGCACCAUUUUGGAAACCACCACGCCUCAGGGCUACCUGGCCUAGGGAAUGGCGUCCUGCCUCUCUUCUCACCUUCGUUUGAGAGGAACAGGACAGAAGGCAGGUACUGAGAGAAACUAAGACUCCAGAGAAGGGAUGCCCAGAUCUCCUGUGCUUAAGUAAAGGGAAACUCCAGCAGAAUAAUCUUAUUAGCAGGCUUUGUACUGCAGCCAGAGGAUGAAGUACUGGACACAAAGAAGCCUUCAUAAAGGCUAAGAGCUGAACCCCCAGUGGCAUGAUCUCCACAAACUGUGCACAGAGAGGAUUUUGAAGUACAGAGAUACAGGCCAUUCUGAGGAAAAGUGCUGGCUUGUUUCCUCCGGGUUCAGCAAAACACCUGCCUGCACCUGUGUGAGGGUGGCUGCAGGGCUCCACCCUGGGCCUAGCCCACACCCAGCCUGGGCACCAUGCUGCCUCACAGCCCCGUGGGCAGGAGCUGUGCAAGAGCCUGAGGUGAGGCUCCACCACCACUGCAACACUGUUGUGGCUGUAGCUGUGGAUGCAGAUAUGGAUACAGUCAUGGACAUCGAUGGCACUUCCUGGAGAUGA